AAAAAAGAAGAUCCAAUUCCUCAACUCAAAGGCCUAAGCCUAUAACACAAUAAAGAACCUUAGAUUCUCGGAUGGUAGCCCAACCCAAGAAGCUUAGGGUAGCAGAAGGAACCGGGUAGAGUAACUGACCUAGCAACAUCUCCAACCAACGCAGCGCCACCGCUACUCAUACCUAACGUGGAGAUCUUCCAACGCAGAGUAGGACCGGUCAUUACCAAGAGUGAAUGGCACGAAAAAAGCUAGGCAUACAUCAACUCAACCACAGAAUCUCAACCUAAAACAAAAGUAAGGAACCUCACGCCAUAAAUAAAGGGAGGUGCAGAUCGACCUAGAAGGUGGUAGAUGGUGGCAAAGGUGGCUCUCAACGGUAUCCCAUUUGUACCUUACAGGUACCUCUUUCAAGUUGGGUCCUAGUGAGAAGCUUCAUCUAGCCGCUUUUCCUUCUCCGUUAGCUACAAUGGAAGCAAAGGCUUUCUAUGACAACCCCACCUACCCCCCAAUGCACUUACAUACCAACAGGAUAACAUGUAACAUGCAGGCAUUGAGAUACAACAACACAACAGUAACCAGCAGAUGAUGAAGUGCUCUCUCUCUGAAGCGUAGAUCUACCACAAGGAGAGGAAAUCCACAAAAAUAUAUCUACAUCCCAUCUGAUGGUGGUGAGACUGAGUGGAAUUUAGAAGAGUCGACCAUGCCCGAAAGGGCAGGGAUGGUUGCAAGUUCGUCAAGCGCGGGAGGGUUAGAGCCUCAGGGAAGAAAAACGAGCUUCACGGUGGACGGGAAAACUUCUUUCAAUCUUGAACUAACUUCUGUCAUAUUA
rnacentral:misc_RNA from 1 species